ACUGCUCAGCAUGAAAUUGCCAGAAUUAAAAGUUUGUUUGAAUAGAGAACAAUUUGAUUCUCAGAAAACGUUAAAGAAUGGAGUUACUGAAAGUGAAAUGACUGUGAGCGAGUCAGAACUCAGUGAUGAUGGCUUGAGUAUUAGCAGUCGUGAAACACCUAAUAAAAAUGGUCCAGAAGAGAAGAGAUAUUUUUUCGCAAAUUUCUGAUCAAGAAAAUGGUGAUACAGCUGAUUUACCAGCUAGUCAGCAGAUAAGGCCUAAAGAUACAGAUGAUAUAUUACAAUCAGAAGAUAUUCAAACUAAUAAUACAGAUAAUAAUCGUGCUGAAAGUAAUGAAAAUAUUGAAAGACGAAAUCCUAUUUUGAAUCAGAAUUACCAAACUAAUUUAUCAGACAAUCCUGAUAAAGCACGUAGACAACCAUUAAUACGUUCUCAUGAAACAGAUGAUCCUCCGUUAGCACAUGGCAGUCAAACAAAAAAUCCAAACACUUCUGAUUCUAAAAAUUUAAGGAAUUCAGGAAGACAAAGACAUAAUCAACCUCAAGUCAUUAUUACAACUUUGAAUAAUAAAAGUUACAAAACUAGAGGAGACAGUAUCAAAUUAAUCAUUGCUUGCUGUGAGUACUAUAUACGAGAGGGUUCACCAGGAGUAGAAGAUCGCAGGAGACGGUAUCAAGUUACGGGCGACCUGGUUUGCUAACAAAAUAUCCACUACUAUUAAUUGUUGAAUUAUUUUCUUUUUUAUGUAUUCUUAAAACUAAUUUUUCCAAACUAUGCUUUGAUUUUAAACUAUUUUACCUAACCUCUUAUUUUUUUCUUUCAUACAAAAAUUAUUCUGUAACAAAUGUGAUUUAUAGAUUUACCUGGGUGAAGGACUUAGUAUAACUAGCGUAGGCUUCAAUUAUAUGUGUAAACAGCCAAUAAAACCAUUUUUAAGAUGGCUCGCACUCGAGAUUUGGGGACAUGAAACUCUAAUGAAUAGAGCUUUGCAGAUUGAACGAGUGAAUAAAAAUAGUUAUCUUCCUGGAAGAUCACCUUCUAAACAAAUUGAAGACGAACUACUGAGAUUAUUUAUAAGCAUUUUCCAUGACUAUACUGAAAAAAGAACAGAUUUACUAUUAGAGGAACGUACAGAAUCAUUACACAAUAUAACAGUGGAAUUAUCUUUGAUUAUAAGAGACUUGAGAACAGACUAUAGAAAGAAUUACGCCAAAAGGAGAUUGUAGAAAUAAAAAAAUUCAAUUAUUUUUAUUGAACUUAUGUAAACACCGUAAAUUGUCAAAUGUAAGCGUAGUGCGAAUUCAUUACACAAGAUACGUUGGAACUGAUUUUUGAUGUACACAAAAAUUAUUUUAAGUUUCUCGCUGUGUACCUACACACUACAGUUUAAUACUUUUUGAAAACUUAAGAUAAAUAUAAUUUAUUUUAUUUUUAUGGCAAUUUA